UGGGAUUUGGGAUUUCAUCGGUGGGAAACUUUCCCAAAUUCUUCAUCUCUUCUCCCUCUUGAGUCUUGACCGAACCAUCUUCUUCCUUCCUUCCUUCCUUCCUUCCUUUCUUUCUUUUCUUCAAAUGAAGGUGUGAAUUUCGGGGAUCUUAAUCAAGGAUCUAGAGAAGGGUUUGGAGGCUUAAACUCAACCACUGAUCAGGAUCCACCGCCUAAAUUAUGGGCAACUUCGGUGACUUUUGCAUUCGUGCUUCAGUUGUGUGCUUGGUCAACUUUGGUGGCUUUUGUGUUUGUGCUUCAGAGUUCGGACGUGUAUUUGUAUCUUCAUCGUAUAGUUGUAGUUGCUUGAGCUCCCCUGGUGAGUAGGCGGUGGGUGGUGUCCGAAGCGGUCUGUGGGAGCCGCACAAAGCUGUAUUGCCUAUGUAAUCUUGAGAGAAAGCCAUCUGAAAUGCAACAUAUUGGAUGUGUUUCUUUCUCCAAUUGAAGACCUAGAUUUGGCGGUUUUACAAGGUGAAGUCUUGCACUCUCACCUAGCUGAUCUUGUUUAAACUUAUUUCAUUCUUGAUUAGAUACAAAUAAUGUGUGCAUAAUUUUAAAAGUGAUCAACGUCACCAUAUUUAUGAUAUAUGUAUGUACUUGUACAUUUUAAAUGAAUGCAUCAUUUAUUUAUAAUAUCAAGAAUUCGCAAAGAUCUUGAGUCAAAGACUGACUAUCUAAGAGAAAAUUACAAAUUAAAUGAGUAAACAAGUAACAAUAAUAUUCAAUUUAUCUAAAGUCAAUUCUCCACAUUUAUUAACACCUAUCAUGUAUUAAAUAUAUAACCAUUUUACAUUAAUCCACUUGCCUUCAUUUGAUCUUGAUUAACAUAGACCCAGGGCAUCCUCACGCAUUGCGUGAGGCUGAAAAAACUAGUAUAUAUAAAUUUACAAAGAUGUGACCAUCAGAAGAAGUAUUUCAAGUACAAUGUAUACAUUAUAAUGUUCGUAAAUGAACUCAAGAUACAAGGUUAACCGUCGGCCCUAUAUAUUCCAUUAAUAACUUGACUGGUUAACACAGUUCAUAAUGCUAACUAUCACACGAUUAACCCAUUUUGAUAUUGCUAAUUAUAACACGAUUAGUCCCGUCAAAAUUGGCAUACGACGAACUAGUCCCGUCAAAAUUACCCUAUACAAGAGCUCAAUCAAAUAAAUCAUUUACAUUUGAUCAUAGUUAUGCAUACAUAAUAAAUCAAUAAUACAUGCACAUACUCAUGCCAGUUUAAUAUGUAAAUAGCUUUGAAAGUCAUAAGAUUUUGACAAUUACAUUUUCAAAAGGUAAAGUGUAUACGCACAACUUAUUUUCACCAAAUAAGCUAGCAUCAAACUCAACUCUGAACCAUCCGAAUAGAAAUUAGUUUAUACCUAAUCGUAUCAAAAGUACUUAAUUCAAAUUCUAACAAUUCUUAACCAUACUAAUUUGUCAUAAUACAGUCGUCCCAGCACUAGUCCUAAGUAAUAACCUAUAGAAAACAUCAUUCUCUCAUUUUAGUGGAAUGUAAAGGUCAAUUUUUGAGCUCCACCAAUUCUUAUGGAUAUAAAAUUAGGGUGGGAUUUUUAUAUAAAUGCAAAGUCCUUUGAAUAGCACUCAAUUCAGAGUUUUUUUUUACAUCAAGAUAUAUCCAAUUUACUGAAGUACGAUAAUAUUGUGAAUUGAAUCCCACCUAACAUCUUCGACGAAUCCAGCCGCGGAUUCGAGGUAGAAUCAACUUCGAGGUUCGGAUCUCAAGUUCCUUUACCACCCCUAAAUCAUCUCCAAGCUUCCAUAGAAUCUAUUACAAAUUUGUCCAUGAUGGUGAUGGUUGGAGUAAGCAAUUUAUUCAUUUAGCACUUGAACAUUUUUUAGCAUCAAUAUUUAGUAAUUAUUUUCAUGCUACUACUACUACUACUACUACAAGGCACUAGCUAGCAAGUAUUAGUAAACUGGCUUUCCUAAUUAUUCCUAUACUACUUUAUGGUCUAAUUAACUGAUGUCAAAUGCAGCCCACCACAUUCUCUGUGCUUUUUUAAUUCUUUUUUUAUUUCCUUUUCACAUGGUUGUUUGACUUGGGGAUAAAGCAAAUGCUGUCGAAUCCAUUAUUAUAUUUCUACUUAUGCCUGGAUUUCCCAACUUCGAAGUUCCUUGGAAACUUCUCAGCAACAUCACCAUAUAUCUCCAUAGUCCAUGCUCCUACCACUACCAUUAUUAUAUUACUGAUGCAGCAAUCAGCCACUAGAAAUGCAGAAUUGGCUAUAGCAUCAAUGCAAGGGAUUGGCAAGGAAACUUAAGGAGAAUUUGGGCAAUUGCAGACAAGAAAAGAGGUCACCUUACACCAAUUGAAGCCUAGGCCAAUAAGGACAGCAGAAAGCAAAGGAGACAGGAACAUAAUGAGGUAGAAUCAGAUUACGAAGUCCUCAUUGACAGGUUAAAGGUUGAUAACCGGAGGUACUCAAGGCUAGGUACCAUUUAUGAGGAUGUGGACCUUACAGAUGAGUACGUGAAUAGGAGAUGCUUAAAGGCAACAACAUUAUUCCUAGAAUUCCAGAAUUUGCGGUUGCCUUAAAUCAUGAUCUACAGUGGAAGAAUCUCUUUCCUCUGUGGAUUACAAAACUUAGCACGGGUUGAUAGGGGGAACUUGCCUAACUUUUUGCAAUUACGUUAUUUUCAUGUAUAGAUUUGGGCAGGUGAGGACAUGACAAAUAUCUCACCAUUCAUUCCAUCAACAGGAGUACUGUCACUCAAUUAGGGGUGUUGGUGGAUUCACCAUUUACCCCCUAAAUGUGUAUGAUCCAAAUUAUGCAUUAUUAUAAAACUAUUUGUAUAUUUAAGUACAAUGCGUUGAUUGAAAUCACAAGCAGAUGAUGUACACAACACAGUGAAAGUUUGAUAUCAAGAACAUAUUUAUCAAUAGAGGAUAAUU